rnacentral:lncRNA from 1 species
ACAUUUGGCAGGCUACCCCAGACCCAUGUGGAGCAGAGAAACACUGGUGGCAUAGAGGGAGUGCAAGACCCUGAAGAAAAUAUGCUGAGGUCCUGAAGUGUGCAGGUGGGGCUUAAUGAGCUAGAUAAAACUGACAUUCCAUAAAAGAAAUGAGUAGUUCUGCCUGAAACUCAAAUAAUUGCACAAGUAUUUUUCUUCAAGAUAAUCAUCAUACUUUGUUACGAAGCAGAAAUACAGCUCUUCCUGCUUCCUUCUCAUCUUGUCACCUGGAAUAUUUGUCAUAGUUAAUUAUAUGUGUCUACUUGAAGGGUGUUUUUGGAUGACUCCACUCUCCCUCAUCUCUUCUGGAAAAUAAAAGGAAUCAGAAAUUUCUAGAAGCCAAGAACCAAAUGAACGAAGUCAAAAUUAUGCCCUAAGGCAACCCUUCCCCUCCAUGCUUAGAGCUAGCUCAAGGGGUGUGAAUGCCUCUCCAGGUCCAGUUUCUUGGUGCCACAGAAGGGUCAGCAUUGACUCUUACUCUGCUCAAUUUACUUCAACCCAGUGGGGCCUUGUU